rnacentral:rRNA from 1 species
GACGAACGCUGGCAGCGUGCUUAACACAUGCAAGUCGAACGAUGAAGCGCAGCUUGCUGCGUGGAUUAGUGGCGAACGGGUGAGUAACACGUGAGUAACCUGCCCCAGACUCUGGGAUAACUCCGGGAAACCGGAGCUAAUACCGGAUACGACCCAUGCAGGCAUCUGUUGUGGGUGGAAAGUUUUUUCGGUUUGGGAUGGGCUCGCGGCCUAUCAGCUUGUUGGUGAGGUAGUGGCUCACCAAGGCGACGACGGGUAGCCGGCCUGAGAGGGCGACCGGCCACACUGGGACUGAGACACGGCCCAGACUCCUACGGGAGGCAGCAGUGGGGAAUAUUGCACAAUGGGCGCAAGCCUGAUGCAGCGACGCCGCGUGAGGGAUGACGGCCUUCGGGUUGUAAACCUCUUUCAGCAGGGAAGAAACGCAAGUGACGGUACCUGCAGAAGAAGCACCGGCUAACUACGUGCCAGCAGCCGCGGUAACAC